GAUGAACGCUGGCGGCGUGCCUAAUACAUGCAAGUCGAGCGAACAGAUGAGGAGCUUGCUCCUCUGACGUUAGCGGCGGACGGGUGAGUAACACGUGGAUAACCUACCUAUAAGACUGGGAUAACUUCGGGAAACCGGAGCUAAUACCGGAUAAUAUAUUGAACCGCAUGGUUCAAUAGUGAAAGACGGUUUUGCUGUCACUUAUAGAUGGAUCCGCGCCGCAUUAGCUAGUUGGUAAGGUAACGGCCUACCAAGGCAACGAUGCGUAGCCGACCUGAGAGGGUGAUCGGCCACACUGGAACUGAGACACGGUCCAGACUCCUACGGGAGGCAGCAGUAGGGAAUCUGCCGCAAUGGGCGAAAGCCUGACGGAGCAACGCCGCGUGAGUGAUGAAGGUCUUCGGAUCGUAAAGCUCUGUUAUUAGGGAAGAACAAAUGUGUAAGUAACUAUGCACGUCUUGACGGUACCUAAUCAGAAAGCCACGGCUAACUACGUG
rnacentral:rRNA from 1 species